CAAGCUGCUGUGAUACGAGCUGCUGUAAAAACGGAGGCCUCCAGACCAACAGCCAGGGAGUAGAGGAGAGACUCACAUUAGUGGCCACUGGACCAGUGGGAGGAAGAGCUUAUGGGAAGAGACUUCUUUGGCUCAUCUCAUGUUACAUCUUGGAGUGACCUCAAAGGCCCCAUCCCAGAAGGCACAGCCACAAAAAACGUGGCCUCCACCAGCAUGGAUCCCUGAAUGUAAU